rnacentral:misc_RNA from 1 species
UUUCCGUAGGUGAACCUGCAGAAGGAUCAUUAAAGUUAUAGUCCCCCGGCCCCUCCGGGCUGGGGUCUUCUAUACCACCCUUUGUUUAUUACACCUUUGUUGCUUUGGCAGGCCUGCCCUCGGGCUGCUGGCUCCGGCCGGCUCGUGCCUGCCAGAGGACCUAAACUCUGUUUGUAUAUGAAGUCUGAGUACUAUAUAAUAGUUAAAACUUUCAACAACGGAUCUCUUGGUUCUG